rnacentral:rRNA from 1 species
UACGGGGGGGGCAAGCGUUGUUCGGAAUUACUGGGCGUAAAGGGCGCGUAGGCGGCCUGCUAAGUCGAACGUGAAAUCCCCGAGCUCAACUCGGGAACUGCGUCCGAUACUGACAGGCUUGAAUCCGGGAGAGGGAUGCGGAAUUCCAGGUGUAGCGGUGAAAUGCGUAGAUAUCUGGAGGAACACCGGUGGCGAAGGCGGCAUCCUGGACCGGCAUUGACGCUGAGGCGCGAAAGCUAGGGGAGCAAACGGG